rnacentral:rRNA from 1 species
UACGUAGGGUGCAAGCGUUAAUCGGAAUUGCUGGGCGUAAAGCGUGCGCAGGCGGUUGUGCAAGACAGGUGUGAAAUCCCCGGGCUUAACCUGGGAAUGGCAUUUGUGACUGCACGGCUAGAGUGUGUCAGAGGGGGGUAGAAUUCCACGUGUAGCAGUGAAAUGCGUAGAUAUGUGGAGGAAUACCGAUGGCGAAGGCAGCCCCCUGGGAUAACACUGACGCUCAUGCACGAAAGCGUGGGGAGCAAACAGG